GUCUUCGUGGUACAACUGGAAGCACGUCUGACUCGUAAUCCGGAGGUUCGGAGCUCGAAUCCUAGCGAGGACA
rnacentral:tRNA from 1 species